GAAGAGAGGCACCACCCAUGACAGGGGGUACAGCACGCGGUCAGCAAACGUCUGGUCAGGCAACACACACACACGCACACACACACACACACACACACACACACACACACGAUGGGGUCAGCACAAUAACAGGAUCCAGACUGAGAUUUACCCCAUUAGUCCCCAUAGUUACUAUUGUCCAACAUACUCUGACAAAUGUCACCUUGCUUUGCAAUGCGUACCUCAGAUUGCAAUAUGUAAAGGAUAUACAAGCAUAUUAUACACAAUGCUGCCUUACAUUAGAACAAAUAAACAUCCUUGUUGAACUUUUUAACAUUGAGUUGACGGUGUGGCUUAAUCCAAAGAUAUAAUGAUCACACGACAAGACUGAGAGUGAUCACUCCAUGUAUCAGUGUUACAGUAAUCCCAUGCACGUCAUAUCAGUGUUACAGUAAUCCCAUGCACAUCAUAUCAGUGUUACAUUAAUCCCAUGCAUGUCAUAUCAGUGUUUCAG